UGUUAGUGCACCGGCGGCUCGCCCGAAU
rnacentral:sRNA from 1 species